rnacentral:rRNA from 1 species
CUAGGGGGCUAGCGUUGUCCGGAAUCAUUGGGCGUAAAGCGCGUGUAGGCGGUUCGGUAAGUCCGCUGUGAAAUCGGGGGGCUCAACCCUCGAAAGCCGGUGGAUACUGUCGGACUAGAGUGCGGAAGAGGCGAGUGGAAUUCCUGGUGUAGCGGUGAAAUGCGCAGAUAUCAGGAGGAACACCAAUUGCGAAGGCAGCUCGCUGGGACGUUACUGACGCUGAGACGCGAAAGCGUGGGGAGCAAACAGGAUUAGAUACCCUGGUAGUCCACGCCGUAAACGAUGGGCACUAGGUGUGGGGGGGUGUCGACUCCCUCCGUGCCGAAGCUAACGCAUUAAGUGCCCCGCCUGGGGAGUACGGCCGCAAGGCUA